AAGAGAAAGAAGGAAGAUGCAGCAACAGAGGAACACUUUAGAAUAAAAUAGGAUACGCCGGUGGUAAGCAGUAGACUCCGUGCUUGUGCUCGGGUGGCGGGAAGCCAAAGCUGCGAACCCCUGGCUCAGAUGGGCCGCAGUUAGUGCGUGGCCUGGAGAUGGGAUACCGAACGCUUCCAUCGGCCAGCCAGCCGCCGUCACAGUGGUCCAGCCCGGUGAACUUCCAGGCAGCAUAGAGCUGCCCGACUUUAGCGAUCUCUGCUCCGUCCCCCUGGCACGCCCGCUGAGCCUCGGUCAGAUUCAUCUUGUGUGAUGGCUGAUGAUAGUAGACUCUCCCUUCGAAGCAAACACAUUUGUUGUGACAUGUGGAGAUAUUUCUGCAGAUUCUGAAACAUUCGACCAGAGUUCGUUCCAGAUCAUGCACCCAGAAAAAGAGACCACCUCACCUCGGAGUGAUGAGGAGAAGCAGAAGACAUCGUAGCGCUGACGGUGCCGGUGACGUCUGCCGUAGCUCCGGACUCCAGGGGCCACGUUGUGCCCGCCGCACUCCGUCCUGGGUCGGGUGAUG